GGGCUUGACAUCCCACGAACCUGCCCGAAAAGGUGGGGUGCCCGCAGGGGAGCGUGGAGACAGGUGGUGCAUGGCUGUCGUCAGCUCGUGUCGUGAGAUGUUGGGUUAAGUCCCGCAACGAGCGCAACCCUCACCCCUAGUUGCCACCGGGUUAAGCCGAGCACUCAAGGGGAACUGCCAGCGUCAAGCUGGAGGAAGGCGGGGAUGACGUCAAGUCAUCAUGCCCCUUACGCCCUGGGCUACACACGUGCUACAAUGGCCAGCACAAAGGGACGCGAGACUGCGAAGUGGAGCUAAUCCCAAAAGGCUGGUCUAAGGUCAGAUUGCAGUCUGCAACUCGACUGCAUGAAGGAGGAAUCGCUAGUAAUCGCGCAUCAGCCCGGCGCGGUGAAUACGUUCCCGGGCCUUGUACACACCGCCCGUCACACCACGAAAGCUGUCUGUACUCGAAGUCGCUGAG
rnacentral:rRNA from 1 species